AUGGAUACAAAAUCCUAUCACUCUCUCAACUAUAAAAAGAAAGAGUAAACCACCUAAGCGAAGUACCGCUCCUCGUUAGCUAGCUAAGCGAUCCCCUUGCCGCGAUCCCGUGCCUCCGCCGGUGCCGAAGGCUCUGAAAGGAAACCAGAAAACAGGGGCGUGAGAACUAUUAAAAAUAGUUCCCAGUGGGCAAUUACUGACUUCAGUGAACUGCGCCACAAGGCCCAAAAGCUACAAAAAGAUGUCAGUGACAAACAAUAAAGUACAGCGAAAGGUAAGUAAAAUGUAACUUACUAUAACAUACAGUCUCUACUUAGCAUGAAUUGCAUAUGUAAUAAAGCAACAAAAUCAUGAAUGUACAUGGGUGUGUAUGACAUGCAUAAGCAUAGAAAUGCAACUAAUCCGAUGUCCUCAAUGCAGAAAUGGCAAAGGUGUCAUUAUUUACUAUUCUAGUCCAAGUCCACUUUAAUAGUUUUAAAGUUCACAUAGCACGUCCUGUCACUAAGUCCCAAUCAUAUAAGACCCACGCGAAGGCUGUCUGGCAUGCGCCGUGCCUAAUGGCCCCGUGGUAGUCAACAUCCCCACUCUAGGGAUGAGCCUCUCUCACGGCAAUCCACUUCGGCGCCCAAUCGCUCACGGGCGAGCAUAUGUCGCGAUAGCUAUCUUCGGAGUGCCGGCUUGUAGGGAGCAACCUCACAAGCAUGUGCGAAUGAGCACAAUGGCAAGCAAGCAAUGAUCCGUCUCAAGAACCAAGUCCUCAUGUCUAACAACAUGGAAUAUAUCAAGUAUCUCAAUGGCCUAUCUCUAUGUCAUCAUGUCUCUAACAUGGAAUGUAACAGAUAUGUAGUGGCCUAUCAACAUGUCUCUAUGUUGCAGUUUAAUAGUUUACUAGUUUCAGGUGCCCCUUGAUGACACUUUUGUUCAACGAGUUUCAAGCAUGGCAUUAAUAUGUUCAUGAUGCAUAAUUCACUCAACUCUAACAUGGAGACAUGUUCUCAACUUGCAAAACCAAGCACUAUCCAUAAUGCAUGCAAUCUACACAUAUAGCUCUACUAUAUGGAGUACAAAUUUUACGAUAUAUGAGGCAUGCAUGUUAAGUGUUCUAAAAUUCACAUAAAUCAUAUUUAGCAUGAAUUUGCAUUCAAAAAUACUUUACGAAAAGUUUAGAAGGCAUAGGGGCCAUUUUGCCCUAUUUUCAUGAAGUCAAACCCACCGAUGACAACGAAACUCUUCGUUUGCUCCAACGAGGGUAUCCUCCACACCCCUAGUACCCUAAAGGUAUAAGAACAAGUGUCACAUGAACCAAACGAACAAAACUUAGCUCAAUCAUUAAGCUAAUCACGCAUAGGUGAGGAAAACUCACCUCUAGUGCAAAAAUCUCCUCUAAGGCUUCAAAAGGGAGCUAGAAUCCUUUCAAUCCAAGCCAAAGGAAGAUUCUAAUCCCAACAAUCUAGCCUCAAAAGCCCUAGAUUCAAAAUGCCCAAAAUAAGCCCUAAAACCUCAUUCUAGGGUUUAAUUCCAAAAACAUCAUUAAAGUUAGGAAUUUAGAGAAAAGAACAAGUCAUUUACCUCUAAAAUACUCCAAUCCAAGCUCUAAACCAUCAAAGUCCAAAGAUUUCUCCUUCACCAAGCCUCAAAUCUAAGCUUCUAGCUCCAUCAAUGGUGGAAAAGCAUAAAAGAGGACAGAAAAGGGAUUAAUCCAUCAAAAUCCAUCUACAACGGAGAUCAAAUCCAAGUGGAGCAAGGUGGAGCUCCUCUCACCUUCUCCUCCUCAGGUCCCAGCACAAAAGAAGCCCUAAGGGCGUGGGUGCUGUUAUAGAUAGGCUACAAUCGCGAAAAACCCCCUGCAGUUCAAACUGCACGAAAUCUGCCUCCUUGUACCGGUACACGGGUUCUUGUACCGGUACAAGGCUCACGAAAAUGCAAACCCGAGGCUCGGGUUGUGGGGUACGCGGCUCUGUAUAGGUACAAGCCCGAUGGCUGUACCGGUACAACCAUCAACCUUGUACCGGUACAAGACCAACCUUGUUCCGGCACAAGCUCUGCUGCAGGCUAACCCGAGAGCUGUCCAAUGAAUCUAAUUUUUGGAUUUUUCCAAGCUUUAAACGACAAUUCUCGGGACUCGAACCAUAGGUCGGAACACUGUCAACGACCCACCAGAAAGUCUUGAAAAGUUCAGAACACAGUCAAUCACUCGAACCCCACAAUUUGCGAGGUCCAGCGCGUCACAAUAUCGCAUCGUGUCCGCCUUGAGAUCGAGGCAAACCAGUAACGAAGUCCAUCGCAAUAUCUUCCCAUUUCCAAACGGGUAUUGAUAGACUUUGAAGUUUCCCCGCCGGAAACCAGCGCUCCGUUUUUACUUGUUGGCACGUAAGACAUUGCGCCACGAAUUCCCCAAUAUCUUUCUUUAUGCCCGGCCACCAAUAUUGCACUUUUAGAUAUUGGUACAUUUUAGUGCCGCCCGGGUGUAUGCUAUAGGGAGAUUGAUGCGCUUCUUGCAUAAUCGUCUUGCGGAUACCUUCAUCUCUGGGCACGCACCAACGAUUUCGAAAUCGAAGUGCGCCAUCGGUCCCAAUGCCAAAAUCGUCGGCACUCCCGCUUUCGACUUCACUCCGCAGCUUUUGCAAAUAAGGAUCCGAAACUUGUAACUCUUUGAUCUUCUCCAACAAGGUCGGUUGCACAACUAAUGCGGGAAGUGUGGCCGGCACUCCCAGCGCUACUACUUCUAGACCUAACCGUUGCAUCUCUUUUUGCAACAACGGUUGAGGCGUGAUAGCCAUCGCCAAAUUUUCCAUUGAUUUCCUACUUAGCGCGUCGGCUACGACAUUGGCUUUUCCGGGGUGGUAUAGUAUAGUGACAUCGUAGUCCUUUAGUAACUCCAACCACCGUCGCUGUCGCAUGUUCAAUUCCUUUUGGGUGAACAAGUAUUUGAGACUUUUAUGGUCCGUGUAAAUCUCACAAUGCUCACCGUACAAGUAAUGCCUCCAUAACUUAAGCGCGAAGAUCACCACAGCUAACUCCAAGUCAUGAAUCGGGUAAUCAUUUUCAUAACUCUUUAGCUGGCGCGAAGCAUAAGCUAUCACUCGGCCACUUUGCAUUAAAACACACCCGAGACCCACAUACGAGACAUCACUGUACACUACAAACGUUUCCCCCGGAGUUGGCAAGGCAAGCACCGGGGUCGACGUCAACUUGUUCUUCAAUUCUUCAAAGCUCCGAUCGCAAUCGUCGCUCCACACGUACUUUACUCCCUUGUGGGUGAGGCACGUUAGUGGAGUGGUUAUUUUAGCGAAACCCUGCACGAACUACCGGUAGUAGCCCGCGAGUCGAAGAAAACUACAGACCUCCGCUACACUUGUCGGGCGAGGCCAAUCCUUAAUUGCCUCCACUUUCUUUAGGUCUACCGAGACUCCAUCGCCCGAUAUCACAUGGCCCAAGAAUGUGACCUCCGUGAGCCAAAAGUCACAUUUCUUCAACUUAGCAUAUAGCUUCACUUGUCAAAGUAUUUGUAACACGGUUCUCAAAUACUCCUCGUGUUCCUCCUCACUCGUCGAAUAGACCAACACGUCGUCUAUGAAUACCAUGACGCACCGGUCCAACAACGGGCGAAAGAUUCGAUUUAUCAAGUCCAUAAACGCUGCCGGGGCAUUAAUAAGCCCAAACGGCAUUACCGUAAACUCAUAAUGGCCAUACUGCGUAUGGUACGCCGUUUUGUGCACAUCGUUCAGCCUAAUCUUUCAUUGAUGAUACCCCGAUUGGAGAUCGAUCUUUGAGUACACCUUUGACCCUUGCAACUGAUCAAAUAGAUCAUCAAUCCUUGGCAACGGGUACUUGUUCUUGAUCGUUACUUUGUUCAACUCGUGAUAAUCUACGCAGAGUCGAAGUGUACCAUCUUUCUUCUUAACAAAUAGCACCGGAGCUCCCCACGGUGACAUGCUCAGCCUCACGAAGUCUUUAUUGAGCAAAUCCUGUAGUUGUGCUUGUAACUCCACUAGCUCCACCGGUGCCAUUCUGUACGGAGCCUUCGAAACUAGCACCGUCCCGGGAAUCAAGUCAAUAACGAACUCGACUUUUCGAUCCGGUGGCAGUCCCAGUAACUCUGCCGGAAACACAUCCGGAAAGUCACACGCGACUCGGAUAUUCUCAAGUUUCGGGUGCUCCUUUUGUGCAUCAACGAUUGUCACCAAAUAGGCCCUACAUCCACCUUUGAUCAUUUUCCUCGCCCACGCCGCCGAUAUGGUUGCCGAGAAGCGCUUGCUUUUACACGCGCGGUACACCCACUCUUCUUGGUUAGGCUCACGAAAUGUGAUCACCUUACUUUCACAAUCUAUGACCGCGUAGUACUUGGAGAGCCAGUUGAUCCCCAAGAUUACGUCGAAUCCCUAUAUUUUGUCUAGCACUAGUAGGUCAAUCGGCAUAAUCUAAUCACCUAUUUGAAUUGGACAAGCCAAACACUCAUAAUGCACACUUAACGAAUGUUUUGGGGCACUCACUGUAAUACAUUGGAUCUUAGCAAAUUGCAAGAUUCGAGUGUUUGAUUUGUGAGUGGAGCCUUUCCACAGUUUUUGGGAGGGCCGUUGAUAGUGUUCCGACCCCUGGCACGCACCCCGAGGAUGUUGGUUUGAAACUUGGUACCAAAAUCCAAAAAUUGGAUUCAUUGGACAGCUCUCGGGUAGCCUGCAGCAGAGCUUGUACCGGAACAAGACUGGCCUUGUACCGGUACAAGGGUUGAUGGUUGUACCGGUACAGCCAUCGGGCUUGUACCGGUACAGAGCCGCAGACCGCGCGACCCGAGCCUCGGGUUUGCAUUUUCGUCGGCCUUGUACCGGUACAGGAGCCCGUGUACCGGUACAAGGAGGCAGUUUUUGUGCAGUUUGGUCUGCAGGGGGUUUUUCGCGAUUGUGGGCUUUUUAUAACAGCACCCACGCCCCUUAGGGCUUUUUUUGUGCUGGAACCAGAGGAGAGGAAGGUGAGUGAAGCCCCACCUUGUCCCAUUUGAUUUUGAUCUCCAUUUUGCUUGGUUUUUGAUGGAUUUUCUUCUCUUUUGCCCUUUGGUGCCAUUUCCACCAUGGAUGAAGCCUCAAGCUUGGAUUUGGAGCUAAGUGGAGGAUAGAUCUUGGGAUUUAAAGGAUUUAGAGCUUGAUUUGAAGCUUCUAAGAGGUAAGCAUUACAUUAUCUUCCUCUAGAUUUGAGUUUUAUUGGAUUUCAUGAGAUGAAACCCUAGAUUGUGAUAUUAGGGUUUAUUUUGGGUAUUUUGAAUCUAGGGCUUUUGAAGCUAGAUUGAGUGGAUUAGAGGCUUCCAUUAGGUUGGAUUGGAUGAGCCCUAGCUUCAUUUUGGAGCUUUAGAGGAGAUUUUUGCACUAGAGGUGAGUUUUCCUCACCUAUGCUUGAUUAGCUUAAUGUUUGAGCUAGGUAUUGUUCGUUCGGCUCGUAUGACACAUGUUUCUAUACCUCUAGGGUACUAGGAGACUAGAGGACACCCUCGUGGGAGCGCACGAGGAGUUUCGUUGUCAUCGGUGGGUUUGGCUUCGUGGAAAUGGGGCGAAAUGGCCCCUAUGCUCUUUCUACUUGUUGUAAAAUAUUUUUAAAUUCAUUUCUAUGCUAAAUGGAAUUUAUAUGAAUUUUAGAGCACUUAAAAUGCAUGCCUUGUGUAUUAUGAAAAUUUCACUAUAUAGUAGAGCUAUAUGAGUAGAAUGCAUGCAUACGGGAAAAAUGUUUAUUUUGCAAGUGAGAAAUACAUCUCUUAUGAGGAUUAUGACUUGGAAUAUGUACUUUGGAACAUAGUUGCCAAGUUUUGACAUAGAGAGCAAGAGUGUCAUAAAGGGGCACUUGAAACUAGUAAACUAUGAAACUGCAACAUAGAGACAUAGUGAUAGGCCACUACAUAUUUGCUAUAUUUCAUGUUAGAGACAUGAUGACAUAGGGAUAGGCCAUUGAGAUACUUGACACAUUCCAUGUUAUUAGACAUAAGGACUUGGUACUUGCGACAGAUCGUUUGACUACUUGCCAUUGUGCUCAUUCGCACAUACUUGUGAGGGUCGCUCCCUACAAGCCGGCACUCCGAAGAUGGCCAUCGCGAUUCAUAUUCGCCGUGCGGGAUUGGCCGCCGAAGUGGAUUGCCGUGGGACAGGCUCAUUCCUAGGGUGGGGAUGAUGACUACCUCGGGGCCAUUAGGCUCGGCACCGGCCAGACAGCCUACGGGUGGGUCUCAGGGCCAUAGACAGCCUUCGGGUGGGUCUCUUCAGAUUUGACUUUGAGUAUUCAUUAUGACAUGUGGACAGAUGAUGACUUAGUGUACUACUUGGACAUUGACUAGAAUAGUAAACAACGGAACUUUACUAUUUCGCAUUGUGAACAUUAUGAUAGUUGGAGACUUUUACUUCAUGCAUAGUUGCUUUCAUACUUAUGCUAUUUAUGCUAAGUAGAGAUAUCAUGUCGUAGUAAGUUACAUUUUUACUUACCUUUCGCCUUUCUACUUUUAUAGUCACUGACAUCUUUUGUAGCUUUGGGCCUUGUGGUGCAUUCACUGAAGUCAGUAAUUGCCCACUGGGAACUAUUUUUAAUAGUUCUCACGCCCCCGUUUUAUGGUUUACUUUUUAGAGCCUUCGGCACCGGCGGAGGCACGGGAUCGCGGCAAGGGGAUCGCGUAGCUAGCUAGCGAGGAGCGGUAUAUGCCUAGGUGGUUUACUCUUUCUUUUUGUAGUUGAGAGAGUGAGAGAUUUCUGUAUCCAUGUAUAGAGACCACCUAUGUACCUACCUAUAGCACUUAUAUUUGGAGAUUCCUAUUGUAUUUACUUUAUAUUUUACUUAGUGGAUUUACAGUUAUCCUCAUUCCUUGCUGUAGCAUUUAGACAUUUAUUAUGCUCUGAUACUCCUAGAUGUCUUUUAUUAUCGCUUUUAUUAUUGUUGUUUUUAGACGCCUUAUGCGUUUUAGACGUAUGGCGGGUCUGGGCACGUGCCGGGCGGGCUUCCGCUGGGUCCCGGGGCGUGACACUCACCCACCAACAAACCUCGUUAUAAGACACCUCUAUACCAUGAGUUCGAGCAAAUGAUGCGCUAAUGAAUGAAUGAGUUGCGCCUGUAUCAAAACAAAGCUUUAGCUCUAAUGCCCUUAAUCAAAAUUAUACCUGCCACAACAUCAUCUAGUGCUACAGGCUCCUCCUCCACCUGAGUGACGAAAACCCAGCCACUAGGUGCUCGCGAUCCCUCCGGCUGACGCGGCACUGGUACGCGUCCAGCCGACAUAGCCGGUGGCAACCCCGCAAGCUGUCUUGGGAAAGACAGAACUGAUGCCGCCGUCGGUGCAGUCGACCCCAAUCCCGGACACUCCCGGAUAAGGUGUCUCGGUUGGCCGCACUUGAAGCACUUUUCUUCACGUGGCAGGCACAUCGCCGGUCAGUGCUCACCGCCGCAUAUGAUACAUCGAGGCGAUCUCCAACCCCUCGACUGCUGUCCAAGAUACCGAGGGGUUUCUUAGCAUUUGGCCCGCCGCCGGCACCACCCGCCGCCCGCUUCUUGCUCUUGUCCUUCAACUCGGCCAUAGCCUCUCGUUCCUCUCGCACGUGGGCAUCACCAUGCUUUGCCCAUAAUGCUCGGUCGAAGACCUCAGCAAAGGUCGUCAGCUUGAAUAUCUGCACAGCCCUAUAAAGUCCUGGCCGAAGCCCUCGCAAGAACCAAUUGGCCCGAUCCCGAUCGUCUCGAACCACAUCCGGGACGAAAUCGAUUAUGUGGGAGAACUCCUGCUCGUAGUCCGCUACCGAGCGGUCUCCUUGUCUUAGCUUGCGAAACUUUUCUUGCAGCUUCCGCUUUACAGUGUCGGGGAAGUAGUUCGCGAAUACCGCUCUCUUGAACUCCUCCCAUUGCAUAGGCGGAAGAUCGGCGGAUCGAUCCCGCUUUACUCGCUUCCACCACACCUCCGCCGCCUUCUCGACGCAAUGGGUGGCGAGGUGCACUUUAUCCUUCUCCAAGGUGUAUAUAUCCUCGAAGAGCGUUUCCAUCGAGUCAAUCCAUGCCUCCACCAUCUCCGGCUCCACCUUGUCCCCUUCAAUGAUAGGUGGGUUGAACUUCUUAAACAUCACGAGAGCCGCCAAUGCACGCUCCCGCUCCGCCUCUAUAGCUGCAUCAUCAGGAUUUGAGAUUCCCAAACCGGCCGGUACCAUCGUGACUGGCAAGCCCGCCCGGCGCGUGCCCAGACCCGCCAUAUGUCUAAAACAUACAAGGCGUCUAAAACAAAUCAAUAAAUAAAGCAGUAGAACAAAGGAAUCUAACGAUAUUAGAGCAAAGUAAAUAACUAUGUUCUACAACAGAGGGGUAAGUAUAAAACUAAAAUCCACUAAUAGAGGCAUAAAGUAGUACAAAGAAAAUCCCAAAUACAAAAACUAAACAUAAAGAGUAUAUAAGUGGUUUCUCUAUACAUGGUACUCAAAAUCUCUCUCUCUCUCUUUCUAAUACAAUAAAAUAAAGAGUAAACCAUCUAAGCUCAAAAGUAGCUCCCCGCUAACUAGCUACGCGACUCCCUUGCCGCGAUCUCGUGCCUACGUCGGUGUCGAAGGCUCUGAAAUAAACCAUAAAACAGGGAGCGUGAGAACUAUUGAAUAAUAGUUCCCAGUGAGCAAUUACUGACUUCAGUGAAAUGCGCCACCAGGCCCAAAAGCUACAAAAGAGGAUCAAUAUAAGUAUAAACGAAAGCGAAAUAAUGAACGAUUAUGGAACCAUGAGUACUAUUCUACCAUGAUAUCUCUACUUAGCAUGAACUGCAUAACUAAUAAAGCGACUACAACAAGUAUGUUCAUGAAUGUGAUUAACCUGUAUAAGCAUGAGUAUGCAACCAACACGAUGUCCUCGAUGCAAAUAGUAAAAAUGUCAUUAUUUACUAUUUAGUCAAUGUCCACUUGGCAUGACGAACGCUCCAAAAUGAAAUCUGAAGAGACCGGCCCGAAGGCUGUCUGGCCCUGAGACCCACCCGUAGGCUAUCUGGCCGGUGCCGAGCCUAAUGGCCCCGUGGUAGUUAACAUCCCCACUCUUGGGAUAAGCCUUUUCCACGCAAUCCACUUCGGCGUCCAAUCCCGCACGGCGAAUAUAUAUCGCGAUGGCUAACUCCGGAGUGCCGGCUUGUUGGGAGCGACCCUCACAAGCAUGUGCGAAUGAACACAAUGGCAAGUAACGAAAGAUCCGUCUCAAGUGCUAAGUCCUCAUGUCUAACAACAUGGAAUAUGUCACAACUCUCUCAUAGGCCUAUCUCUAUGUCAUCAUGUCUAAAACAUGGAAAGUAGUAGAUGUCCAUGGCUUAUUUCUAAGUCUCAAAGCAAUAGCCUCAUAGUGUGCUAGUCUAAGUGCCCCUUUAUGACACUUUCAUUUACUAAGCCCAAGCUUAACUCAAGUGUUCACAAAUGCAUAAUUGAGCCACUUUAAACAUAUGAACCAUGUUUCCAAAUGACUAAUGCGAACACUACCCAAAUGUAUGUAACAAUACCCAGAAUGCUCUACUAUAUAAAGUGCAAAUUUUCUUAUACAUAACACAUGCAAUUUAAGUGUUCUAAAAUUCACAUAAAUCCCAUUAAGCAUAGAUUUGCAUUUAAAAUGAUAUUACGACAAGUAUAAAAAACACGGGGGCUAUUUCGCCCCGUUUCAUGAAGCCAAACCCACCAAAAAUCGAAACUCUUCGUUUCGCCGAACGGAGGUGUCCACAAGUCUCCUAGCACCCUAAAGAUGUAGGAACAAGAGUUACACAAUCGAAACGAACAUCGGAAAGCUCAAUCUUAACCAUCUAAGCAUAGAGGGCAUAACUCACCUCUUGUGAUGAAAUCCCUUCUUAAGCUUCCAAAGAGAGCAAUAACCUUUCCAACUCAACAAAGGAAGGUUCUAAACCCAUCAAUUAGGUCUCCAAGCCCUCAAAUCAAAAAUCCCCAAAAUAAACCCUAAAAUCCAAAUUUAGGGUUUCUAACAAAAUCUACCAAAAAUAGGUCUAGAGAGGAGAAAUGAGCAACUAACCUCAAAAAAAGAUCCAAACCAGGCUCCAAAUGCUCUAGGGUUGUAGAUUGAUCCUUUAGCGAGCUCCUAGCCCAAGACCCAAGCCUCCAAUAGUGAGCAAAAGGGAGAGAAAGAUGCUCCAAGCUUCAAGAUCUUGCUCUCCUCCAACUUCUUCUUCUUCUUCUCCUUCUUCUUCUCUCUCUAGAAGUGUAAGGAGGGUGAGAAAUGAGGGAGUGAGAGGGUGAAAAUGGCCUUAAGGCCCUUAGAAGCAACAAAAUCCAUAUAAGCCCCUCAAAGAAUCACCCUGUGCACUACGCGAUCUGGGCAGUUUUCGUGCUGAGGGAUUGGUCUCCCUGACACCUGGGACCGGUCUCUCAGUUCGUCCCGCAAAACCAACGUUCGGGAAUCGGUCUCUCCCCGCCAGGGACCGAUCUCUCUGACCCUUCACGCAAAAUACGCGUUCGGGAACCGGUCUCUCCUAGCCAGGGACCGGUUCCCUCAAGCCCUGCCGCAGCACUAUUCUGAGGGGACCGGUCUCUCAUAUCAGGGACCGGUCCCCGAGAGUGAAAACUCUCAGGACUUGCCAAAACUCUAGAGAUCGAACUUUUAGGCCGGAAUACCAUCUACGGCCUUCCACCAAGUGUGGAAAAGUUCGGAGUACACAUCAAACACUCGAACCUCGCAAUUUGCAGAGGACCAGUGUGCUACAUUCACCCAUCCUAAAAAAGAGUUUCGUCCGCGAAACUCGAAAUGACAACAUACCUCAACGUUCCAUCUAAAAAAGCUGGGGAUAGCGCUCCCGCAGCGCGCUCUCUAGCUCCCACGUGGCCUCCCGCUCCCCGUGGUUGCUCCAAAGAACCUUCACGUACGGAAUAUCCCGAUUCAGUUUCCGCACCUCGCGAGCCAAGAUCUUCACGGGUUGUUCCUCGAAGCUCAAGUCGUCUCGCAACUCCACAGGUGUAGCAUCCAACACAUGAGUCGGGUCGAAGACAUACUUUCGAAGGACCGAUACAUGAAAGACGUUGUGCACGCCAGAUAAGUUCGGUGGUAGAGCAAGUCGAUACGCUAUCGGACCUACCCGUUCCAAAAUCUCAUACGGUCUAAUGAAGUGGGGGCUCAACUUAUCCCGAAUCCCGAAUCUCUUGAUCCCUCUAGUCGGCGAGACCUUCAAGAAAAUAUGGUGUCACGCCCCGGGACCGAUGCCAAUUUGGCCCGACCCGAGCACGUCAAACAGACGCCGAACGGACAGAGUUUCCCCUAUCCGCCCAAGGCUCAUCACAUGUACAUUUUCAUCAAUAGAGAAAAGCACUAGCGAAAACAUACAUAAACGGCUUACACGAGGGUAAGCAAUAGCCAUUAGUGAAAGAAAAAGGAAACUAAACAUUCACUUAUACUAUGAUUCAUUUUUGAUCAUAUACAUUGCAUUCAUCUGGUUCAUUUUCAAAUUCCUUACAUUUCAUUUCAUCAUUUCUUUCUUACAUCACAUUUACCUCAAAAUAAGCUUACAUCUUUUCCUUACAUCAUAUAGUCAUCAAUACAAAAGAUGAACAUAGGGCACUUUUACUACAAAAUGAAACGCGACUUUGGUGCCUCUGACUAAGGCGCGAUACCUUUACCUCGGUCGCCUCGCCGGCUCGCUUCGGUCCCCGGCUCUGUGAAAUAGUGGGUGAGUGAACUACAACAAAGUUUCCCAGUGGGUUUCGGCCUCAACAUCACCGUGACUUUCCACAGUAGGAUAUACUUCAGGCAUAAUAAUGAAAGGAUAAAGCAGGAUAUAGUAUACCAAUCUAUAAAAUGAUGCUAAUAUGCGUAACCAAAUAAAGCAGAAAUAGCUGGCAACAUUAAAUAAAUGCAGAUUAUGCAGAUUCUUUGUUCUUUGACUUUACUUUGUACUUUGUUCUUUAAUUCUCUGCUUUUUGUUCAUUGUUCUUAAUCUCAAGCUAACCCGGGGGUUUCGCCACAUUAACUUGCUUCAACAUUAAUCCAUCAUCGCAGAACUCACCAGCUAGGAUCGUCCUUCCGGGUUUACUCCAACCCGUGAUGCAUAAACUCCGGAGCGCAUCACCCGAGGGGAGCGCCGCCGUCGAGCACGGAACUCAUAGCAAGCUGAUCAUAUCCUUAACUCAAAGGAUUUAUAAGUUCAAUCAUGACUUUACACUAGCUCUAGUGUUCUUUACAUCACUUUAUGUUGCAAACUCAUGCAAUCACAUUCUUUACAUUUUCUUUACUCUUGCUAACUCUAGCAUUCUUGUUCUUAUUGCCCCACUUUACUUUAACUUUACUCGUUGUCAUUUUCAUCAUUCUUUACAUCACUUUAGUUCUUUACAUCACACUAACUCAUGUGUCAUUUCACAUUAGCUUUAUCGAAUGCCACUCGAUCUAUGUCAUUGUGCCACUCUGUUCUUUUGCUCACUUUGGGUGCUCACUUUUCUCUCAUGCAUACACAUAGGGUUUUCGACAUCACAAGUUCUUAAUCAUCAUAUUAUGCAAGUUGUACUCACAAUCAUGCAUCAUUACAUUUUCAUCAUUACUUUACCCUAAAAUGCAUGCAACAAAUAUGUAACAUAUGCUCGAAUGAAUGACACAUUAGGCAUAGAGGGAAGUUCAAUAAGUUUGAGAAGCACCACCUACCUCGUAGGCUUUCAAAGGUGCUCCGACGAUUUUCUUGGGAUUUUUAGUCGCCCGGUUCACUACCUGCGGCAUAACGAAGCCAAAUUAGGCUUAUUGGGCCAUAUCUUUCUAUAGACUUUUCGUAACGUUAAUCCGAGCGCACCGACGCGUCGGAAAUACCCCCAAUUAGGUUUUUGAAGGGUCAAUUUCACUUAGAAACCCCCAUGAGCAAAAGCCCCAAUUUGGUGCCCUAGCUCCAAUGCAUAUACAAAACCUAGGGUUUGAUCUCAUUGGGAAGCAAAAGUAGCUUUUCAUUAUACUCUAAAUAGUCCAUUAGAACCAUCCCUAGCUCACUCCAAACCCUAGUUUGGAUUUCACCAUGAGAGGUGGUCCAAGCUCACCUCAAUAGCAAACCAAGGUUUUGAUCUCUAAAGAAGCAAAGAGGAAGCUUCAAAAACUCUAAACAAUCCAUAAAAACCAUCUCCACUCUAAUCCAAACCCUAGUUUGGGAUUAAACAUGAGAAGGAGCAAAGCUUACCUCUAAGCUUGCUCCUUUCUUGCUCUAGAGCGAAAGAAGAUGAAGUUGCUUUACUCCAAUAGCUUCUUCUCCACUUUCUUCUUCUUCUUUUCCUUCUUUUCCUUCUCUUCUUCGUCUCCUUCUUUGCCUUCUAGAGAGAGAAAGAGAGAUGAGAGUGGGAGAGGGAGUGGAAUGAGAGAAAAGCCCUCAUGUCCCUCAUACAUAACCAUUGGGCUGCAAAAAUGCUAAUAAACCCCUCAACUUUUAUCUCUGUGCACUGCCUGGACUGGGCAGUUUUCGCAGGCAGAGACCGGUCUCCCCGAGCAGGGACCGGUUCCCGAAGGUCCACCCUGCGCAGCCAGAGCUGCUGCGCGCAAUGCGACCGGUCUCUCUCUGAUGGGACCGGUCUCUGGGGGACCGGUCUCUCAGGCAGAGACCGGUUCCCGAGAGCUGAUCUUCCAGGACUUAGCCAAUUUUUCGGCUGUCUCAUUCUGCACGCGUUCGGGGACCGGUCUCUCCCACCAGGGACCGGUCCCUGAGAGCUCAAAAUUCGCAGUUUUGCAGAAUUUGAUUCUUUAGCUCUCGAAAACCUCCCGUAACUCACUUUUAAUCAUUUUAACACCUUCGGACUUUCCGAAGUGUACCAUCCUCGCACUUUGGUCAAUUUGACUAAAGUUCGAUAUUUAUUUUCCGAAUUUUCGGUAUAUUACAUAUGGUCUCCAACUUGAAACUCCAAGUCUCGCCGUCGUCGAUCGGCGUAGCUCCUCUGUCUACUCUGUGCCGUCAAAAGUCGCUCCCGAGCAAUUCGAACCUUAUCCUCAGCUUCCUGGAGCACGUCAAGGCCUCAUGCCAAUCUCUCGCCGACUUCACUCCAAUGAAGUGGCGAUCUACACUUCCGUCCAUAAAGUGCUUCAAAUAGCGCCAUCUUAAUGCUUGCUUGAUAACUAUUGUUAUAAGCAAACUCCGACAUCGGUAGAUGCUGCAACCAUCCUCCCUGGAAGUCUAUCACACAAGCUCGGAGCAUAUCCUCUAAAGUCUAAAUGGUGCGCUCCGACUGCUGUAAUACACUGAAUCUUAGCAAAUUGCAAGAUUCGAGUGUUUGAUCUGUGCGUGGAACCUUUCCACAGUUUUUGGAGGGUCGUGGAUAGUGUUUCGACCCCUGGCACGCGCCCCGAGGAUGUUGGUUUGAAGCUUGGCACCAAAAUCCCAAAAUUGGAAUUUUUGGUCAGCCCUCGGAUGGCCUGCAGCAAGGCUUGUACCGGAACAAGACUGGUCUUGUACCGGUACAAGGGUUGAUGGUUGUACCGGUACAGCCAUCGGGCUUGUACCGGUACAGAGCCGCAGACCGCGCGACCCGAGCCUCGGGUUUGCAAUUUCGUCGGCCUUGUACCGGUACAAGAGCCCGUGUACCGGUACAAGGAGGCAGUUUUCGUGCAGUCUGGUCUGCAGGGGUUUUUUCGCGAUUGUGGGCUUCUUAUAACAGCACCCACGCCCCUUAGGGCUUUUUUUGUGCUGGAACCAGAGGAGGAGAAGGUGAGAGGAUCCACCUUACUCCACUUGGAUUCGAUCCCCAUUUGGGCUUGGAUUAAGGUUUUAAUCCUUCUCUUUUUGCUUUUUGGUGCUAUUCCACCCUUGUUGAAGCCUAGAGCUGGAUUGUGAGCUUGGUAGAGGGAAGAUCUUGGACUUGGAUAGUUUAGAGCUUGAUUGAAGCUUCUAAGAGGUAAGCAACAUGUUCUCUCCUCUAGAUUCAAGUUUUAUUGGAGAUUUUGAGAUGAAACCCUAGACUUAGGUUUUAGGGUUAAUAUUGGGCAUUUUGAAUCUAGAGCUUUUGGAGCUAGAUUGAGUGGAAUUAGAGGCUCCAUUGGGUUGGAUUGAUGAGCCCUAGCUUCAUUUUGGAGCUUUAGAGAUAUUUUGCACUAGAGGGUGAGUUUCCUCACCUAUGCUUAAUUAGCUUAAUGAUUGAGCUAUUGAUUGUUCGUUUCAUUCGAGUAACGCAUGUUUCUAUACCUCUAGGGUUACUAGGAGACUAGAGGACACCCUCGUGGAGGCGCACGAGGAGUUUCGUUGUCAUCGGUGGGUUUGGCUUCGUGGGAAUGGGGCGAAAUGCCCCUAUGCUCUUUCUACUUGUUGUAAAAUAUUUUUAAAUUCAUUUCUAUGCUAAAUGAAAAUUUAUAUGAAUUUUAGAGCACUUAAAAUGCAUGCCUUGUGUAUUAUGAAAAUUUCACUAUAUAUAGAGCUAUAUGAGUAGAAUGCAUGCAUACGGAAAAUGUGCUUAUUUUGCAAGUGGAAAUGCAAUUACUUAUAGAUCAUGACUUGGAAAUGUACUGGAACAUAGUUGCCAUGUUUGACAUAGAACAAGAGUGUCACACCCGACCCGGCCCUCUUUGGUCGGAUUCGGGCACGCCAACAGACCGCCGAACGGACAGGGUUUCCCCUGCACGCGACAGAGUCUCCCCUGUACGUUCAAAGCGUCGCAAUCAAUACAAUUACAAGAGGUUCCAAACAGGAACAAUUUUUCAACAACGAUUGCAUAAGGAAGGUAUCAAACAACAUAACACAUCCUAUGUUAUUACAAUCAUUCAUCUCAUCAUUUUACAUCGCAUUUUCAUUACAUUGAUUCUCAACUUCCAAAUAUACAAUCGAUUUCUAAACAUAAUAUUCAAACUCGAUUCUUUCUUUUCUUUCUUAUACCCCUAAGAAGCCGACUCAGGUGUGCUAUCUGGUCUCUGUGGUAGGGCGCUAACUACGGAGCUACGCCCUUUCCUCGCGCGCCGCGGCCGCUCGCGUGUGAACCUGUACCCCCAAAAACAACAACAGGGGUGAGACUAUUGUCCAUAGUCGUCAGUGGGUACAGCCACACCAAGGAAGAGCUCAACCCACCAGGUCCAAAGAGGCACUGCAACAUGUAGUACCAACAGAUAUAUACAUAUAACAUCAUGCAAUACAUGUUCAUGCCUCACAAAUAUGCAAAUUAUGCAACUCUUAGUCAUUUUUACAUUAGCCAUUCUUUAUUCUUUACUCUUUAUUCUUUAUUCUUUAUUCUUUAUUCUUUAUUCUUUAUUCUUUAUUCUUUAUUCUUUAUUCUUUGCUAAGGGCACUCGCACCUUAGCGCAUUAUACACAUUUGCCAUUCUUUAUAACAUUAACAAAGUUUCUCAAUUGUCAUUCUUUCUAUUUGUCAUUCUUUACAGGGUUACCUUUACCCUAGCCAACUAUGCCACUCGAUCUCGGUCUUGAGUCAAUUUAUAAUGAAUACAAGAUCCACUUUCAAUUCAUGAUUUCUUUGUUCUUUGUUCUUUAAUCUCACGGCUAACCCAGGGGUUUCGCCACAUUAACUUCUUCACAUUAAGUCCAUCAUCGUAGGAACUCACCAGCUAGGACCGUCCUUACGGGUCUACUCCAACCCGGAUGCCAAACUCCGAAGCGCAUCGCCCGAGGGGAGCGACCGCCCUCGAGCACGGAACUCAUAGCAAGUAUGAUCAUAUCCUUAACUCAAAGGAUUUGUAGUUGAAUCAUGGCUUUACACUAACUCUAGUGUUCUUUACAUCACAUUAGUUGCUAACUCUAGCAAUCACUAUUCUUUAUACCACAAUUAUCAAUUACUUUAGUAAUUGUCAUUCUUGAUAUCACACUUGUUCUUUUAUUGCCACACACUAACUCUAGUGUUCUUUAUGUCACAUUGGUUGCUAACUCUAGCCAUUAUCAUUGUUCUUUACACUUUGCUUGUUCUUUAUGCCACAUUACUUUACAUCGCCUCUAGCCAUUAUCAUUAUUCUUUACAUUACAUUGCUUUGCCUUGUCUCAAGCCAUUAUCAUUAGGUUCUCACAUUACACCUCAUGCAUACACAUAGAUUAUUUAGAUUCUUAAUCAUUCUAAUAAGCACGUGUACUCACAUCAUGCAACAUUACAUUAUUAUCAUCACAUUGUUUUACAUUAUCUUUAGCCAUUAUCAUUAUUCUUUACAUCACAUUUAUUCUUUGAUGUCCCACACUAACUCUAGUGUCCACUUUACCAUUUCCAAAUGCCACUCGAUCUAUGUUUAACAUGCAUAUAUUUUGUCAUCCAUUGGUAGUCAUUACUUAGCAUUUUAUGCAUUCGUUAACAUUUACCACAUGCAUUCUCGGUUAGAAUAAAUCUCAUACUUUCAUUUGACAUCUAUUUAGCAUUUCUAUAAUAUGCACAUGUAAAUUAACAUCAACUCAUGCAUUCAUUUGACAUCUAUUUUUAUCAUGCAUUCUUAAAUAGCAUACUUUAUCAUGCAUCAAUAGUAAACAUACUACACUUUGACAUGGAAAGCGACCUAAUCGCUUCGGUGAGCACGACCCACCUCAAAACGCUUUCCGAUUGCUUGUCGACACUUGCAAUCGGCCUCCCGCGGCACCCGUAACCCGGUUUGGCCCGAUCUUUUGCGCGACCACCCGAACGGCCUCCGAUCCACGAUCCAAAAAUUAAAGGUCUUCGGUUAUGUGCCACGAUGCUUCAAAUCCGUUUUCAUGAUUUUACGAUGUCGCCUCGGCCCUCCAGGCGGAAACGAAGCCUAAACGUCCAUUUCUUUAAUAACUUCGCAACGGCUCGACGAAUCGCCGAACCGUCUUCGCCAACGCGUUCGUUUACCUAGCAAUUAGGUUUACGAAGGGUCAAAUUAGAUCAAACCCUUAUAUUUUACAAAAUCCCAUUCGGAGCCCUAAUAUGCAAUUAACCUCAAAAUAAUCCAAAAUUAAAUGGAUCAACAUGCUACAAAGCUCAUUAGAGGCUAUUAGAACACUUAAAGCUAAGGAUUAAGCCAAAUCCCAAAAGCUUACCUCAAUGUGAACGCCGCGACGAAAAUACGCCGCUCCAACGGGCGCACGAAAGCUCAAUCCGUCGCCUCCAACGCGUUCGCAAGCAUCUUCUCCACCAACGCCGCGAAUUUGAGCGAUAAAUAUAGAGAGAUGAGAGAGCAAUCUAGAGAGAGAAAGAAGGGUUUCUCUCUCCCUUCUCCAUGCCCGCUUGGGUGGCCAUGGUGGUCGGCUGAAGGAGAAAGAAGCAAAAUGCUUCUUUAU
rnacentral:lncRNA from 1 species